AGAGGGUGCGAGCGUUAAUCGGAAUAACUGGGCGUAAAGGGUGCGUAGGUGGUUAUCUAAGUUAGGUGUGAAAGUCCUGGGCUUAACCUGGGGAUUGCGCCUAAUACUGAGUAGCUAGAGUCCUGUAGAGGAAAGUGGAAUUUCCGGUGUAGCGGUGAAAUGCGUAGAUAUCGGAAGGAACAUCAGUGGCGAAGGCGACUUUCUGGACAGAGACUGACACUGAGGCACGAAAGCAUGGGGAGCAAACAGGAUUAGAUACCCUGGUAGUCCAUGCUGUAAACGAUGAAGACUGGCUGUUGGUUACCUAAGGGUAGCGAGUAGCGAAGCAAACGCGUUAAGUCUUCCGCCUGGGGAGUACGGCCGCAA
rnacentral:rRNA from 1 species